AGUGAACGCUGGCGGUAGGCCUAAUACAUGCAAGUCGAACGACAGCACAGUAAGAUCGUGCUCUUACGGGUGGCGAGUGGCGGACGAGUGAGGCAUGCAUCGGAAUCCACUUUUUCUUGGGUAAUAACGUAGAGCAACUGACGAUAAUACCUAAUAUGACCUACGGCUUGAAUCAAUAGUUAUUCGGGCCUUGGCUGACUCAUUUAGACGAUGCCGGAUUAGCUAGUUGGCUGGGUAAAGGCCCACCAAGGCGACGAACCGUAGCUGAUCUGAGAGGAUGAUCAGCCACACUGGAACUGAGACACGGUCCAGACUCCUACGGGAGGCAGCAGUGGGGAAUAUUGGACAAUGGGCGCAAGCCUGAUCCAGCCAUACCGCGUGGGUGAAGAAGGCCUUCGGGUUGUAAAGCCCUUUUGUUGGGAAAGAAAAGAAGCAGGUUAAUACCCCGCUGUUCUGACGGUACCCAAAGAAUAAGCACCGGCUAACUUCGUG
rnacentral:rRNA from 1 species